rnacentral:rRNA from 1 species
AAAUGUUGGGUUAAGUCCCGCAACGAGCGCAACCCUUAUCCUUUGUUGCCAGCGGUUCGGCCGGGAACUCAAAGGAGACUGCCAGUGAUAAACUGGAGGAAGGUGGGGAUGACGUCAAGUCAUCAUGGCCCUUACGAGUAGGGCUACACACGUGCUACAAUGGCAUAUACAAAGAGAAGCGACCUCGCGAGAGCAAGCGGACCUCAUAAAGUAUGUCGUAGUCCGGAUUGGAGUCUGCAACUCGACUCCAUGAAGUCGGAAUCGCUAGUAAUCGUGGAUCAGAAUGCCACGGUGAAUACGUUCCCGGGCCUUGUACACACCGCCCGUCACACCAUGGGAGUGGGUUGCAAAAGAAGUAGGUAGCUUAACCUUCGGGAGGGCGCUUACCACUUUGUGAUUCAUGACUGGGGUGAAGUCGUAACAAGGUAACCGUAGGGGAACCUGCGGUUGGAUCACCUCCUUACCUUAAAGAA